UGGGGAAAUUGGAAAUGGGCGAAAGCCUGAUCCAGCCAUGCCGCGUGCAGGAUGAAGGCCUUCGGGUUGUAAACUGCUUUUGUACGGAACGAAAAGACUCCUUCUAAUAAAGGGGGUCCAUGACGGUACCGUAAGAAUAAGCACCGGCUAACUACGUGCCAGCAGCCGCGGUAAUAA
rnacentral:rRNA from 1 species